rnacentral:rRNA from 1 species
AUUGAACGCUAGCGGCAUGCUUUACACAUGCAAGUCGAACGCGUGGCGGGCGUGUGAAUUAUAUAUCGGAACGUGCCCAGUAGCGGGGUAUAACUACUCGACAGAGUGUCUAAUACCACAUACUCUUGGAGCCGCAGAUAUGGGAUUCGCUCGUUGGUGGGGUAAAGGCUCCCCAAGGCCACGAUCCGUCGCUGGUUUGAGAGGACGACCAGCCACACUGGGACUGAGACACGGCCCAGACUCAUACGGGAGGCAGCAGGGGGGAAUGUUGGACAAUGGGGGAAACCCUGAUCCAGCCAUCCCGCGUGUAUGAGAAGGCCUUCGGGUUGUAAAGUACUUUUGGCAGAGAAGCGGUAUCUACAGAAUAAGCACCGGCUAACUACGUGCCAGCAGCCGCGGUAAUAC